UUUCUCUCUCUCCCUCCCUCUCUUUCUUUCUUUCUUUCUUUCUUUCUUUCUUUCUUUCUUUCUUUCUUUCUUUCUUUCUUUCUUUCUUUCUUUCUUUCUUUCUUUCUUUCUUUCUUUCUUUCUUUCUUUCUUUCUUUCUUUCUUUCUUUCUUUCUUUCUUUCUUUUCCUAAAACCUUUACCUUUCAUCUUAGAAUCAAUACUAUGUAUUGGUUCCAAGGCAGAAGAGCAGUAUGGGCUAGGCAAUGGAGGUUAAGUGACUUGCCCAUGGUGGCACAGUC
rnacentral:lncRNA from 1 species